AAACGACUCUCGGCAACGGAUAUCUCGGCUCUCGCAUCGAUGAAGAACGUAGCGAAAUGCGAUACUUGGUGUGAAUUGCAGAAUCCCGUGAACCAUCGAGUCUUUGAACGCAAGUUGCGCCCCAGGCCGUUAGGCCGAGGGCACGUCUGCCUGGGUGUCACGCAUCGUUGCCCCCCAAACCCCCUCUCAGGGGGAUGGUUGGGAGGGCGAAGAAUGGCCUCCCGUGCGCUCCCCGCUCGCGGUUGGCCGAAAUUCGAGCCUUCGGUGACCGUGCCGCGACGAUCGGUGGUAAACAAGCCUAUCGAGCUCCCGUCGCGCGCUCGCGUACUCGUGUUACGGGCUCGCGGACCCCUCGAGCGACUCCUAUUCAGGGCGCUCCUCGCUUUGCGACCCCAGGUCAGGCGGGACUACCCGCUGAGUUUAAGCAUAUCAAUAAGCGGAGGAAAAGAAACUUACCAGGAUUCCCCUAGUAACGGCGAGCGAACCGGGAAGAGCCC
rnacentral:rRNA from 1 species